rnacentral:rRNA from 1 species
UACGGGGGGGGGGCAAGCGUUGUUCGGAAUUACUGGGCGUAAAGGGCUCGUAGGCGGCCAACUAAGUCAGACGUGAAAUCCCUCGGCUUAACCGGGGAACUGCGUCUGAUACUGGAUGGCUUGAGGUUGGGGAGAGGGAUGCGGAAUUCCAGGUGUAGCGGUGAAAUGCGUAGAUAUCUGGAGGAACACCGGUGGCGAAGGCGGCAUCCUGGGACCAAAUUCUGACCGCUGAGGAGCGAAAGCUAGGGGAGCAAACGGG